AAUUUUCUUUCCUGCCAAAUCUUGCCUUUUCUUCUUCGUCUUCUUCUUCUUCCAUCCAUGAUUAAUGCUAUCGCAUAUACAUACGUGUCUGUAGCAGCAAAUUGGUAAGUCAUUAUGGGAAGUUGCAGCAAAGGAAGACAAAGCAACUUGUAAUGAUCAAUCAAGAAAAAGAUUUCAUAUAUAUAAAUUGAAAAAAUGAAAUCGUGAUAUUGAAGUCGAUUUUUAAUCCGAGCCAAUCAAAUUUCUUUUUCAAGAAGGGAAACUCAGUCAGACGUUUGAACUUGGAAGCACUGUAAAGCCAGCAUAUUUAAAGCAAAAGAAAAGGAAAAAAAAAAAAGAGAGAGAAUCUUGUCUGAGAAUAUGUUGCUAUUUUAAGGCGAAUCGUCAGCCAUCUUCAUUAUGAAGGAGCAUCAGCUGCCUUUUCCUGUUGUAACCAACAAAAAGCAUGGACGAAACAGAGAAGAAGAAGAAUCUCAUACAAUUGGGUAGAUAUUAUUCAAGAUUUUUUGACACGUAUGAUAAAAAGAUUUCGACCAUGAAAUGGCACAAUCAAACAUAAGGAAAGAAAGGUCUUCAAGGGAUAUCCGUAGCAUAAUCCUAAGCAUAUGCCAUUUCUUCUAUAGUUUAUCCCAUCUCUCCAUGCCAUGGCCAAUCAGAAGACUUAUAAAGCUCUUAAGGAGAUAUAGAAGCAAAACCCAGAAGUGUUUUGAAGCAAAAUGAGCUAGCAAUUACAUAGGCAAAUCAGUUGUAGGGCACCUCUUGCUUGGCAGGUAAAGGGGACACUAGCUAGCAUAACAUCCCAAUAACUUGCUUGCCAAAGGAGAGUUGCCCUGUGACUGCUUUAGCUUAGAGACACUACAAAUAUUGAUCGACUUCAUGUCCUUUUCUUGAUCUCCCACUGAGGUAAGUUCAGUCUUAUAGCUUUUGAUAGGUUUUAGAUUUAAGCAAAUGCACUAUGGCAAUGUUAAUGUACAAAUCCACCUGAAGUGCGCAGUUGAUCCUUUGAAUUGAUGUUUUGAAAUCCACAAUUCAUGUAAAAUUGACGAGGAAAUUUAUGUACCUCUCUAGCUUUCGUUAUUUAUCAGCAUAACCAUAGCGCAACAUCUUCAACUAACUUGCAAAUUUGUUGCUCGGAUUAGUCAGUCAUUAGGAAAUAUCAUGUGCUUGCUGGGCAUUGGACAAGUUGUGCUGUUUAGGCUUCUUGGAUAGUUGAUCCAAAGAUAAAACUGUUUCAGGUUACCAUUCGUUUCUUAUCCUUGUCAUCUAAUUUGCUUAAACUCUAUCUCCUCAGCAAGUACAUUUGCAUUGAAAGGUCUAACUCAAAUAAGAUACAGAGGAGACAAGCCUCAUUAAAAUGUUCAGUCCAAAAACAUCACAAUCAAAUCUUAAAGAGCAUCCCUAACAACAUUAUAAACAAUUCAGCUUUUUAAUUGUAAUUUUUCUCUAAAAUUAUGC
rnacentral:lncRNA from 1 species